CAGCUAGUUGGUGAGGUAAGAGCCCACCAAGGCAGAGAUCGGUAGCCGGCCUGAGAGGGCACACGGCCACACUGGCACUGAAACACGGGCCAGACUCCUACGGGAGGCAGCAGUGGGGAAUCUUGCACAAUGGGGGCAACCCUGAUGCAGCGACGCCGCGUGAGCGAUGAAGCCCUUCGGGGUGUAAAGCUCUUUCGGCAGGGAAGAUAGUGACGGUACCUGCAGAAGCAGCUGCGGCUAACUACGUGCCAGCAGCCGCGGUAAUACGUAGGCAGCAAGCGUUGUUCGGAGUUACUGGGCGUAAAGGGUGUGUAGGCGGUUCUUUAAGUUUGGUGUGAAAUCUCCCGGCUCAACCGGGAGGGUGCGCCGAAUACUGAGGGACUAGAGUGCGGGAGAGGAAAGUGGAAUUCCUGGUGUAGCGGUGAAAUGCGUAGAUAUCAGGAGGAACACCGGUGGUGUAGACGGCUUUCUGGACCGUAACUGACGCUGAGACACGAAAGCGUGGGUAGCAAACAGGAUUAGAUACCCUGGUAGUCCACGCCC
rnacentral:rRNA from 1 species